CACAAGGGGUGAAGCCUGCGGUUCAAUUGGAGUCAACGCCAGGAAACUUACCAGGAGAGACAGCAGGUUGAGGGUCAAGCUGAAGACUUUACCUGACGAGCUGAGAGGAGGUGCAUGGCCGUCGCCAGCUCGUGCCGUGAGGCGUCCUGUUAAGUCAGGCAACGAGCGAGACCCCUGUUGGUAAUUGCUAACAGUUCAGAGAUGGAUUGAGGCUAGUUACCAAGACUGCCGCUGCUAAAGCGGAGGAAGGAGGGGGCCACGGCAGGUCAGUAUGCCCCGAAACUCCUGGGCCACACGCGGGCUGCAAUGGUAAGGACAAUCGGUUCCGACCUCGAAAGAGGAAGGCAAUCCACAAACCUUACCCCAGUUGUGAUUGAGGGUUGAAACCCGCCCUCAUGAAUAUGGAAUCCCUAGUAACCGCGUGUCAUCACCGCGCGGUGAAUACGUCCCUGCUCC
rnacentral:rRNA from 1 species